rnacentral:lncRNA from 1 species
GAAAUGUGAAAGGGGCCAAAUCCGGCCGGAAAUCCGGCCAGUUUCUGGCCGGAUAGCUGGCCGGUUUGAAAAAAAUUGGAUCAGCCUUUGCCUCGAAUCCGGCCGGAAAUCCGGCCGGAUUGUGACGUCAUCCCCGACAGUCAACUUUGACUGGCUGCCUUUUUCUUCCUUCUUAUCUCAUUUUGGCCAAAAUAUCUCACUUUCUUCCUUGGUUCAUCCGUGAGCUUUGAGAGAAAAACAAGAAAAACUCUUCAUUCUUCCAUCUUCAAUUUCUACUCAAAUCUUGGGUUUUAACCGAUGGUUUUGGAAAAUAUUUCAUACAAGGGCUCAUUAUGGUGGUUUAAAGCUUUUGAUGGAUUGGUUUUGGAAGGGGAGUGCUAAGUUGAUAGCUUUCUUGAACUUGAGGUGAGUUGGAUAAACAAGUUCCCUUUUGUUCUAUAUUUGGUUAAUUAAUGGUUUGUGGUGGUCAUGUAUGUUAUUUUGUGGAGUAUUUCAUGGGUUGAAGGAAGUUAUGGUGAAUUUCUGAUUUAUUGGGCAUUUUUCCGAUUUUAUAUGAUAAGCAUGAAUUGGUCUUGAAUUGAUGGAUUGUUAUGGUGUUAAAUGGACCCUUUAUACGUUAAUUGUGGUUGUUUGCGGAAAAUUUCCGCUUAUGGUAUGAAUUCCGGUUUUAGGGUUUCAAUUUGGGAAUUUUUCCAAGAUUGGCUUAUAAGCUUCUAAUUGGUUUUAAUUGAGGGAUUUUGUGGCCCUAAUUGGAUAUGUUUAUUGAUUACGAACUAUAUGUGCAAUUGUGGUUGAUGGUUAUGAAUUUGGUGAAUAUUUGUAGGUUGGAAAAUAAAGAAAGUGAGGGGGAAAUGCUGUCCGAACUUUGAUAGUAUUUGGUUGCUUUGAACUGGAAUUGAAGGACUUGAGUUCGAUCCAUGAAAUUGUCUAUAGUGGAAGAGGACUAUGAGCCGUGAAGUGAGUAAUCUCCAAACUGUUCCAAAGUUACUUUUGAACGUUUUCUUGCAUUAUUUAUUCAAUUGCAUAUCAUGCGUGCUUGCAUGUGAGUUCAUGACAUGAUUUGGCUUGAAAUGAGUACUUGGGAAGUCCUGUGCUGAACACCAACGUCUCUACCACUGUUCAUGUUUAUUUGGAGCUCAAAAAGGGGCUCCCUCUCUCUGUUUACUGUUAACGUUAAAGGAUCUGUUUGAGCGUUGGGUGUUUAGGUGCAAUGAUUUCACUGGCUCACGAGAGCAAUAAACGUACAUUGGAUUUCUGAUUCAUAACAUCAUUGAAAUGAACGAUUAUGAAACUGAUUUGAUUACUGAUUUUAUUGGUUACUCGCUGAGAUUUUAGCUCACCCCAAAACUAUUUUAUUCCCCUCCACAGGGCUCGAGGCGAAGAAAGAGCUUGUAGUGCUUAUUCAUGUGAAUGGACGGAUUAUCUCAUGUAUGGUUUGAAUUUGAAUUUUUCUUUUGUGACUUAUAUUGUAAUUUAUUUGAGGACUGUAGUGAAUGACUGAGUCCCGACGAGACUUGGGCAGGCGGCCCACCGAACCCUCUGGUUCGCCUUAGGGGGAGGUGGGGCUGUCACACUAAACCCCCCUCAUCUUCGCUCUUCCAACCAUUAAGGGAGCCAGGGAUUGAACCAUGGGAAGUUGGGAACCAAUCUAAGGCCAUUCAUCCUAAUCAUAACAAAUCCUUGAACUUGAUCACAAAUCUGUAAACAAGCCAAUAUUUUACUCAAAUUUAUGGUGGGUUUGGUAAGUCAGUGAGGUAGAUAUAUAUAUAAGAAGUGCGGUAGAUAUAUUAGAUGGAUGAGUUGCCUUGAUUCUGACCCUUUAAAAAAAAGAAUGAUAAAGAGGAGGACGAAAGAAUCUACGGAAAAGAAAAUGUAAAGAAGGAUAUGGCAAUUUAAAAGGAAGCAGUAGCGUUUUUUAUUUCCUUUUUCCUUCCGGGGAUUAUAUAUGAGAAAAAAAAAA